UCACCAAUAUUUUUGCCCCUUGUGUGGCAAUAAUAUGAUUUAGUCACUAUGGCUGUGUACACGCUACUAACUUUAAAAGCAGCUAGGUAGUAAUUUUUUCCAAUUUGGAUCAAAACUGGUUUGGGGGGAAAUGCAUCAAAAUGGCAUGUCAAAUGGCAGUACAGAUGUGGACAGUGGAAAACGUCGUGUUUACCAUUGGAGCGCAUUGGACCCAGAGUAAAUGGAAGUGUGUAUUCAGUCUCUGUAAAUGAGAUUCAGCCUAAGCCCAACGAUUUGCAUGCUAUUGGAGUCUGCAAAUUAAACAGAAACAUGCUAUUGGCAGCAUUCAUUAUGACUGCCGUAUCUGUGGCAAAGGUUCCCCCAAACAGAGCCCCUUACCUGCAUCUUUUUCUUUCCCUUAUAGAAUCUCAAUAUUUAUUUUUAAAUUGUUGACUUUGAAUUUUCAGCAAAUUCUUUUAGAUCUAGUCUUGUCCGCUUGGUAAAGUCCAGCCCAAACCCACCUCAUUCCCCGCACCAAGUAAAAUGUUAAGAUGUAAUACAGGGGCAUUCUUCAACAUGCAGACAUGUGCCAGGAGACUACUGAAAACUAAACUCUUGGUGACAGGUGGAAUUAAAAGAUUCCACUUGUUCUCCAGAGAAAUGAAGCUGAAGGAUUAUUACUAAUGGAAGAGUCUUGCAGCUAGAGAUAAAGCUGUUUAAGUGCUAUCUCCACCUUCUUUGGGUGCUUCAUGGCACAUCUAAGCCCUAGUCAGGCAUUCCCCUGGCCGCGUGUGGGCUAAACAUGUAAGCUCUACCCACAAUGUCCCUGGUGCACCCUGGAUCCACUUCCGAUCUUCUUGCACUCCCACAUCAAAUGCAUUGGUAAGCCUAUGUCAGGGCCUCAGAUGUUUGCAGAACUGCAAGUCUUGGAUGUUAAGUUUUUAUUGGUUCAAUCAGAUGUUCAGACCCACCAUAGGCACUUAACUGAGUGCUCAAUUCCAUUGUUUUUUGUUUGUUUGUUUUGCAUACGGCAUUCUAACCCAUGGCUUUGGACAUGCGGGGAAAUGCAAUGCCAGUCCCAUUAAAAACGUGCCUUUGUUCAAGCACCUCUUUCACAAUAUCCUGCACCUGGAGUAUGCUGUGCCCUUGGUACAGACCACCCUUUGUCCCAAGUUCACUUCAGGAGAGCUUGGAAUUUGGGUAUUGAAGCAGCUCAACAACAGAGGCCUGGGGUCUUUCCUCACUGAAAGCAGCAACAACAUGUAGUGAGUUCUGCAUGUUGUAGUUCUAGUACAAAGAUGAGGAACCUGUGGCCCUCCAGGUAUUGAUUUAUUCCAGCUCCCAUCAGCUCCAACCACAUUGGCUAUCCUUGUUACAAAAAACAGGCGAUGGGAAAUGGAUUGAUUAAAUUCAGAAGUAGCCCUUAUUUAGGAACAUAGCAAGCUGGCUUAUACAGAGUCGGACCAUUGGCAGCGGCUCUCCAGAGUUCAGUCAGGGAGUGUCCCCUAGUUCUCUUUGGAGAUGCAAGGGACUGAGCCUUGGACCUUCUGAAUUAUUAUUAUUGUUGUUGUUGUUUCCUUAUUUAUAUGCCAUCCAUCUGACUGGGUUACUCCAGCCACUCUGGGCAGCUCCCAACAAAAUAUUAAAAACACAGUAAAAUGUCAGCCAUUAGAAACUUCCCUGAACAGGGCUGCCUUCAGAUGUCUUCUAAAAGUCAAAUAGUUGUUUAUCUGUUUGACAUCUGAUGGGAGGGUUUUGCAAAGGUUGGGAGCCACUACCGAGAAGGCCCUCUGCCUGGCUCCCUGUAGCUUCACAUCUCGCAGUGAGGGAACGCGGUGAGGCAUAAGAAACAUUUCAAAUCCUUUGGUUUGAGUUUAGCGUCCAUCAGAGACAAGCAGGAAGUAUCAAUAUGCAACAUGCAGUGUUUAUAAAUUGCUGUAGUUGUUUAAGAAGCUGUGCUGCGGAACUAUGCGGUCACCCUGUACAAAGAAAGCACCAAACAAAAAGAACAAACAGAAAACACUACUGACACCCCAAAAUAAGACAAUAUUCAGGUGACUUCCUUCUGUGGUUUGGCACUUUAGUUGCGAAUGCAAUUUGUACAGAUCUUUAAUGCUUAUCAAAUGCAGCAUCUUUGCACAUAAGAAGGGAGACUACAAUGUGUGCUUGCUAUGGUUUCAAAAUAUACCGUGUACCAAACAAUCCCCAGACAUCUGAAGUUUAAGCAUCUAUUCACAGCCCUGUAGGUUUCAGCAGAAAGAUUAAAAGCACACACUGCAUGGUAAAUGAUUCAGAGAGGAGAAACAAGGGGAGACAUUCAAACGUCAGCAAACCAGAAAAUGUUCUGCAUGUAGAAACAGAUAUAGAUAUGUAUGGCUUGUAACGGGAUGCUGCACCAUGGCAAAAAAAAAAGCUCCAAGCAACAGCUGGAACUGGGGUUUCAAAGGGACAAAAUCGGAGGGGCUUAGAACACAAGAGGAGCCCCACGGAAUGAGACCAAAGGCUGAUCUAGUCCAGCAUAAGGUUCUCAGACCUCCUAACUCACAUGGUGGACUGUGAGAACUAAAAGCUUGGUAGCCUUCCUCCCAAGGUGACAGGAAGGGACUUACCGAAGCCUGGAAGAACAGCUUAGUCUAGGGCAGUGUUUUUCAAACUUGUGCCCCCAGCAGUUGUUGGACUACAACUCCCAUCAUCCCUAACCUAGCUAGGGAUGAUGGGAGUUGCAGUCCAACAACAGCUGGGGGUCACAAGUUUGAGAAGCACUGCUCUAUGGUCUUAACCUCUUCAUGCAUUAAUUGGACUUAAACAUACUGGUUAUAUCAGGCUGGUUUAUAUAUCAGGCAGAUAUUUAUAUUGCUCAGCAUGAAGCAAAUGGAUGCAUAAAAGCUGACUCCUUUUGUAAUAAAAAUUGUCCAGACCCAUAAUUAUGAUUCAAAGCUUUACUAACCAGAACUUUUUCAAAACAGGUACAAUACAAUCAAUGAUGUAUCCAGAAGGUUGUAUAAAGCAUGCAUAUUCAAGCAUUGGUUCUUCUUCUUAAAUCUAUAACUUAAUUAUGACUAGAAUAAAACUCAAAUCUAUCUCUCUCCCAUAGCUUGGAUUAGCCUGCAUCCAGCCUAAGGCUAUGCAGCUCCUGGAGAGCCAUCAUUAUCACACCCUUUCUCUGACUGUGCCUGGGAACGAAAGGGAAAAGCCAACUCCCUUCAGAAUGGUGGAUUUUCAGUUGAAUACCUUAAUCACAUGAUCUAAGGUUAAACACUCGUGUGAAGGUUAGCAGAAAACACCAGCCUUUAAUUGUCAACUCAGCUAGAAGCUCUUUCUAGCUUCAUCUACUUAAAUGGAGUUUUCCAGUGUUAAACCCUUAGUAAAAUACAUACAGGCAUUCUCCAUUUCAAUGUGAAUUCAACCAUUAUACGUACCAUGGUUAUUCCGCUCCGCCCACCACCCCAAUACACAGCUGCUUUCUUUGCAUGAUCCAGGAAACAAACCAUGAUCCAUGGUUGACUUUGGCUCCCCACUAUGAUCUCUAUGGUUAAAGGCUUCCAAACAAGCCAGAUUUGGGAUCCAGCUUUAAAACAUGGUAUAAAGAUUUUCCAUGCUUUUCUGACCCAUAGCUCCACUGGGGAAAUACGUAGCUGUUUUAGUGCAUAUACACAUACACAAAUCACAGUAAGAGCUCUGUUACCCGUCACUUCUGAGUUUCCAGCCAAGAGAAAGCCCGGGCCAGAUGAAGAUAAACCAGGGGGAAAGUAAAUAUAGCUGUGAUUAAAAUGUAGGUCACUCCAUUUCAGGCAACAAUGUGCAAGCGUUCCUGCAGGAUCUUGUGUCAUAGAAUAAUUGAGUGCAGCUUUUGAGUGGACAGUUUCUGUUGGCUGAGAUUCCGAAGUGAGAAGGAACUGAGAACUUAGCGCAAUCCAUCUCUGCGUGUCCCAUAUACAGCCUUGGCCUAAAAGGCAAUGAUGAAACAUCCCACCGGGCAGGGGUUGGAAAGCAGAAAUUUUUCCAUAACUCUUGUGAUCCCAGCAUAAAGCAACUGCAGGGCAUCAAGGGACAGUAAGCAAGAGGCAAGAAGAAAUAUAAAGAAGGGGAAGCAUUCAGAAGAGGAUCUGGCAAACUCUGUGCCCUUUAAUUUAGAGGACAAACACACAGCGAUGCAUUUGAAACAAAAUGGAUAUGCAGAAAGAAAAUACUAGAAACUAGCUUGAUAAUUCUGGAACAGGAGGAUGAAAUUAGGACACCUUAGACCAUUCACUUACAAUGCAUGAAGUUGCCAGCCUCUGAACCUCUCAUGGAAGGGGCACACCAAGAAGGGCCUCAGAUCAUGAUUGCAGGGUCUGGGUUGGUUCAUAUGGGGAGAGGCAGUCCUUGAGAUAUUGCAGUCCUGAGCCAUUUAAGGUUUAUAGAUCAAAAUCAACACUUUGAAUUGGACCUGUAAACUAGCAGGCAGCCAGUGCAGUCAGGCCAAGAUUGGUGUUGUAUGUUCGAACGAUCUUGCCCCAGUGAGCAACCUGGUCCCCAAAUUCUGCACCAGCUGAAGUCUCCAAACCAUCUUCAGAGGCAGCCCCAUGUAUAACAAUUGCAGUAAUCUCACAUAGAGAUUGCCAGCGCAUAGACAAAAGUUAGGCUAACGCUGUCCAGAAAGAGCUACAGCUGGGCCACCAGCCAAAGCUGAUGGAAGGCACUUGGCGCCACCAAGGCUAUCUGAGCCUUAAGAAACAGCAAUGAAUCAAGAAGUCUUCUUCUUCUUUGGCAAUCACUUGUAGCCGAGUAAGAUUGUCUUCCAUGAACACGGUCCUAACGGUGAGUCCAUAAGUGACUGUGGAGGCCAAUUCAAGUUGUGUACGCACUCCUUCAGAGGAAUUGUAGCCGCAACAAGAGCAGGCCACCUCCCACCCAUUUGGUCUAGGAAACCACCCAACAACAGUGCCUCGGUUUUAUAUGGAUUAGAAUCAUAGAAUUGUAGAGUUGGAAGGGACCCUGAGGAACAUCUAGUCCAACCUGCAUUGCAGGAAUAUGCAUCUGUCCCAUAUGGGGAUCAAACCUGCAUCCUUGGUGUUAUCAACACCAAGCUCUAACCAACUGAGCUAUCCGCUUGAAUUGAGCUUUAGUUUGUUCCAUUCCAUUACCAAGGUGAGACAAUAUAAUUAUUAAUUAACCAUGUCUGAAAUGUGAACUUCUGGUGACAUGCUGAAAGAGAAGGCUGGUGUCCAGAUUAUUUUUCUGUGGCUAAGUGGCCUUCUGAAUGCUCCAGCCCAUGUCAAGAUCAAUGUUCCCCGUGUGCCCCCAAAUCCCUUUGAAAAAUGGGCUAAAUCAGUGCCAUCCCUAGUAUUAGGCAGCAGAGUCCGAGAUAUUGUUAAUGGGCAGCAAACUGCAACCUAUAUAUAUAGUUUAUGUGUCUCACUGACCAAAAUAUCUUGGGCACCCCGGGGGUAAAUCAUGAACACACUCCAAAUCAUUCCCAAACUUGAUUGCUACACCAAAAUCUCCAAAAUGUGGCCUCAUGUUGACUUCACCAUUCAAUUCAAUUCACCACACUACCCUGGACUUAGACAAUGUUUGCUUCAGGUUCCUGCAUAUGAGCAAAGCUGAAAACAAGCUGGCUUGUGCAUGCCGACAUCUUGCGCAAGCCCCUUUCAAUUGCCAAGACUCCAUCAUCAAGGGAUGGAAGUGUUCCUAAAGUUUCUCAUGUCAAGCCAGGUGCAUAUAGUGAUGAAACAUUCUCCCAAAGACAGCUUGACCUCGACAGCCCACAGGUGCAGGCUUCCUUUCAGUUAUCAAUCAAGAUCUGGAGCAGCAAAGCUGGCUUCGUAUCAUCUUCCCAACAAAGCAGAGGGUGUUCGGUGGGAGGGUGGUGACUGCUUCUCUCAGGGACGUCCACUACUGGCCAACUCAAAGUCUGAAAGUAUCAGCACAGCAAAGAGAGACACAUGUCAACCAACACUGAAGUCCAUCUCUCUCUCUCUCUCUCUCUCUCUCUCUCUCUCUCUCUCGUCUCUCUCUUCAUGCUGUUGCAAUUGUUGGGACUAUUCUUUGGAUGUGACAGGAUAUGUCGAGGAAGCACUUCUUAAAAGGGCAUUGUCAUUUCAAAGGUUAGCCCCUCAAAAAAUUCUUGUAAUUGAUAGUUUCUGUGCAUAACUUUGAAAAAGCAAUUCUUUUAAUUUUAUGGCUUACUUCUUGUAAGCUGCCUUGAGAACAGGAAGGGUGGCGUGUCAAAUAAACAUAAAAAUAAAUGCACCUCUAAGUCCUGAUUGCAGUUUCUCAAAAAUUUUAGUACGGCGGUUUUAUGUCUGUCUCAAAUUUCAAAUUAGAUCGGGGUCACCAACCUUUCUGGGUCCACGACAAACUAGAGAAACUGCAGUGGGCACCACACACCAGUGGUGUAGCGUGGGUUGCCAGUGCCUGGGGUUGCGCGGAGGGGAGGAAGGGAAACAGAUGGAGUACGCAUGCGCAUUCAACUGCCCAAUGGCAUUUGCAUCACCCAAGAGGUCACAGUCACAGAGAUAAGAAAAGAGUCGUUUAAUUGUCUGGAGAGGUCACUUCCUGGUUCGCAUGGAAAAGCCAUUUUCAAUGGAGUUCACAGCUGUAUUGAGGCAGCACUGGGUGUUGAAAUUUUGUUCUCCCUAACAAUUUUGCAACUGGGGCAGCCGCCUCUGUGUCCCCAUGUUGCGCCACUGCCAUACACACACCCCACCACAAUGUAUACAGUGCAGCCAUGCACAUCUGCAUGCACACUUAGCCACACACUCAUUUCGGAAGGAUUAACCUUCCCUUCCCUAGUUGUGAUCCUCAAAAACAUGCCCCAUUGCCACAACUAGGCUUUCUAGCCAAAUUUUGGCAGACAGGAGGAGGGGAUCAGGGCUCUGUGGGCACCAGGAAAAACAUCAACGGGCACAUGUGUGCAUGUAGGUCUUGUGUUCAGGACCCAUGAAUAAGACAGAUGGAAAGACAGAUAUAUAAGAUACUAGCCUCAAUGUGCCAUCUUACCCUAUGGAAGGCUAUAUUUCAUUUUCUUUUCUAUGCUUUUACUGGCGCUCAGAGUAGCCGCACAGAAUCCUGCAAAAGAAAACAUACAUACCCCAAUUCAGUGGCACAGGUCCACGUACAUGAAGAGACUUACAGGGGCAUAUCACCAUUUAAGUCAAGAAUUUCCAUCAUAAAUCAGAUAUAAAUUCAAAUAAAUAAAUGUCUGAGUGGGGGGAGAAGUCUAUCCACACUGUAUUGCUUUAUUUUUAUUUUUUUAAAUAUUUAUUCAAAUUUUAAGAUUACAG